rnacentral:rRNA from 1 species
GAUGAACGCUGGCGGCGUGCCUAAUACAUGCAAGUCGAGCGAACGGACGCGAAGCUUGCUUUUCUGAUGUUAGCGGCGGACGGGUGAGUAACACGUGGAUAACCUACUCAUAAGACUGGGAUAACUUCGGGAAACCGGCGCUAAUACCGGAUAAUAUUUUGAACCGCAUGGUUCAAAAGUGAAAGACGGCCUUGCUGUCUCUUAUAGAUGGAUCCGCGCUGCAUUAGCUAGUUGGUAAGGUAACGGCUUACCAAGGCAACGAUGCAUAGCCGACCUGAGAGGGUGAUCGGCCACACUGGAACUGAGACACGGUCCAUACUCCUACGGGAGGCAGCAGAAGGGAAUCUUCCGCAAUGGGCGAAAGCCUGACGGAGCAACGCCGCGUGAGUGAUGAAGGUCUUCGGAUCGUAAAACUCUGUUAUUAGGGAAGAACAUAUGUGUAAGUAACUGUGCACAUCUUGACGGUACCUAAUCAGAAAGCCACGGCUAACUACGUG